rnacentral:rRNA from 1 species
AUUGAACGCUGGCGGCAGGCCUAACACAUGCAAGUCGAGCGGAGCGGCGGACGGGUGAGUAAUGCCUAGGAAUCUGCCUAGUAGUGGGGGAUAACGUCCGGAAACGGGCGCUAAUACCGCAUACUAUCAGAUGAGCCUAGGUCGGAUUAGAUAGUGUGUGGGGUAAAGGACUACCAAGGCGACGAUCCGUAACUGGGCUGAGAGGAUGACCAGCCACACCGGAACUGAGACACGGUCCAGACCCCUACGGGAGGCAGCAGUGGGGAAUAUUGCACAGUGGACGCAAGGCUGAUGUGUCCAUGCCGAGUGUAGGAAGAAGUCCAUCGGGUUGUAAAGGACUUUCAGCUGGAAGGCGUUACCCGAAGAAGAAGCACCGGCUAACUCCGUGCCAGCAGCCGCGGUAAUAC